rnacentral:misc_RNA from 1 species
UUAGAUUUUAGUUAUUUGUGAACGUACUACGAACAAACAAAAAAAAUAAUUGAUAGUCAAUAAAAAAAUUAAAUCA